rnacentral:rRNA from 1 species
CCCCGUCAAUUCAUUUGAGUUUUAGUCUUGCGACCGUACUCCCCAGGCGGUCUACUUAUCGCGUUAGCUGCGCCACUAAAGCCUCAAAGGCCCCAACGGCUAGUAGACAUCGUUUACGGCAUGGACUACCAGGGUAUCUAAUCCUGUUUGCUCCCCAUGCUUUCGCACCUCAGUGUCAGUAUUAGGCCAGAUGGCUGCCUUCGCCAUCGGUAUUCCUCCAGAUCUCUACGCAUUUCACCGCUACACCUGGAAUUCUACCAUCCUCUCCCAUACUCUAGCCAACCAGUAUCGAAUGCAAUUCCCAAGUUAAGCUCGGGGAUUUCACAUUUGACUUAAUUGGCCACCUACGCGCGCUUUACGCCCAGUAAAUCCGAUUAACGCUUGCACCCUCUGUAUUACCGCGGCUGCUGGCACAGAGUUAGUCGGUGCUUAUUCUGCGAGUAACGUCCACUAUCCAAGAGUAUUAAUCUCGGUAGCCUCCUCCUCGCUUAAAGUGCUUUACAACCAAAAGGCCUUCUUCACACACGCGGCAUGGCUGGAUCAGGGUUCCCCCCAUUGUCCAAUAUUCCCCACUGCUGCCUCCCGUAGGAGUCUGGGCCGUGUCUCAGUCCCAGUGUGGCGGAUCAUCCUCUCAGACCCGCUACAGAUCGUCGCCUUGGUAGGCCUUUACCCCACCAACUAGCUAAUCCGACUUAGGCUCAUCUAUUAGCGCAAGGCCCGAAGGUCCCCUGCUUUCUCCCGUAGGACGUAUGCGGUAUUAGCAUCCCUUUCGAGAUGUUGUCCCCCACUAAUAGGCAGAUUCCUAAGCAUUACUCACCCGUCCGCCGCUAGGUAAAGUAGCAAGCUACUCUUCCCCGCUCGACUUGCAUGUGUUAAGCCUGCCGCCAGCGU